rnacentral:rRNA from 1 species
UACGGAGGGGGCGAGCGUUGUCCGAAGUUACUGGGCGUAAAGCGCGCGUAGGCGGGUUGCUAAGUCCGCUGUGAAAGCCCGAGGCUCAACCUCGGAGGGUCGGUGGAUACUGGCAGUCUUGAAGGUGGUGAGGGGGAGAGUGAAUUGACCGGUGUAGCGGUGAAAUGCGUAGAGAUCGGUAGGAACACCAGUGGCGAAGGCGGUCUCCUGGCCCACUCUUGACGCUGAGGCGCGAAAGCCAGGGGAGCAAACGGG